AAGCUCAAGGGCGUCCAAAUCUUGCCAAUGGCAUUUCCCUGUACGUUAGCGAUGACCGUCAAGGUAGCAACCUGGAGUUUGGCCGGCUGUUAGUACGUGCACGGAAAGCAGCUGGUU
ncrna:unclassified sequences Flavobacterium-1 RNA